AGUGGCGAACGGGUGAGUAAUACAUCGGAACGUGUCCUGUAGUGGGGGAUAGCCCGGCGAAAGCCGGAUUAAUACCGCAUACGAUCUACGGAAGAAAGCGGGGGACCGAAAGGCCUCGCGCUAUAGGGGCGGCCGAUGGCAGAUUAGCUAGUUGGUGGGGUAAAGGCCUACCAAGGCGACGAUCUGUAGCUGGUCUGAGAGGACGACCAGCCACACUGGGACUGAGACACGGCCCAGACUCCUACGGGAGGCAGCAGUGGGGAAUUUUGGACAAUGGGGGAAACCCUGAUCCAGCAAUGCCGCGUGUGUGAAGAAGGCCUUCGGGUUGUAAAGCACUUUUGUCCGGAAAGAAAACUUCUGCCCUAAUACGGUGGGAGGAUGACGGUACCGGAAGAAUAAGCACCGGCUAACUACGUGCCAGCAGCCGCGGUAAUACGUAGGGUGCGAGCGUUAAUCGGAAUUACUGGGCGUAAAGCGUGCGCAGGCGGUUCGUUAAGACAGAUGUGAAAUCCCCGGGCUUAACCUGGGAACUGCAUUUGUGACUGGCGAGCUAGAGUAUGGCAGAGGGGGGUAGAAUUCCACGUGUAGCAGUGAAAUGCGUAGAGAUGUGGAGGAAUACCGAUGGCGAAGGCAGCCCCCUG
rnacentral:rRNA from 1 species